UACGUAGGUGGCAAGCGUUGUCCGGAUUUAUUGGGCGUAAAGGGAGCGCAGGUGGUUUCUUAAGUCUGAUGUGAAAGCCCACGGCUCAACCGUGGAAUGGCAUUGGAAACUGGGUCACUUGAGUGCAGAAGAGGAAAGCGGAAUUCCAUGUGUAGUGGUGAAAUACGUAGAGAUAUGGAAGAACACCAGUGGCGAAGGCGGCUUUCUGGUCUGAAAUUGACGCUGAGGCUCGAAAGCGUGGGGAGCAAACAGG
rnacentral:rRNA from 1 species